rnacentral:rRNA from 1 species
UGCAAGUCGAACGAUGAACCACUUCGGUGGGGAUUAGUGGCGAACGGGUGAGUAACACGUGGGCAAUCUGCCCUGCACUCUGGGACAAGCCCUGGAAACGGGGUCUAAUACCGGAUAUUGACCUUCACGGGCAUCUGUGAGGUUCGAAAGCUCCGGCGGUGCAGGAUGAGCCCGCGGCCUAUCAGCUUGUUGGUGAGGUAAUGGCUCACCAAGGCGACGACGGGUAGCCGGCCUGAGAGGGCGACCGGCCACACUGGGACUGAGACACGGCCCAGACUCCUACGGGAGGCAGCAGUGGGGAAUAUUGCACAAUGGGCGAAAGCCUGAUGCAGCGACGCCGCGUGAGGGAUGACGGCCUUCGGGUUGUAAACCUCUUUCAGCAGGGAAGAAGCGAAAGUGACGGUACCUGCAGAAGAAGCGCCGGCUAACUACGUGCCAGCAGCCGCGGUAAUACGUAGGGCGCAAGCGUUGUCCGGAAUUAUUGGGCGUAAAGAGCUCGUAGGCGGCUUGUCACGUCGGUUGUGAAAGCCCGGGGCUUAACCCCGGGUCUGCAGUCGAUACGGGCAGGCUAGAGUUCGGUAGGGGAGAUCGGAAUUCCUGGUGUAGCGGUGAAAUGCGCAGAUAUCAGGAGGAACACCGGUGGCGAAGGCGGAUCUCUGGGCCGAUACUGACGCUGAGGAGCGAAAGCGUGGGGAGCGAACAGGAUUAGAUACCCUGGUAGUCCACGCCGUAAACGGUGGGCACUAGGUGUGGGCAACAUUCCACGUUGUCCGUGCCGCAGCUAACGCAUUAAGUGCCCCGCCUGGGGAGUACGGCCGC